rnacentral:lncRNA from 1 species
AUGGGUUGGGUGGGUGGGUCACGGAUGGGUUGGUUGGUGGUUGGUCGGAGCGUGGGUGGGCUGCAGUUGGCCAGGCGCUGGCCGCUGCCCGCUGGCGUUUGUGCCUCGCGCCUUCACCCCCCAGCCCCACAGCCACCGUCCUUCCAUGUCCCCAACCCUGUGGCCACCAUUUUGAUAUGCUCCAACCCCAUUCCCCAACCCCGUGGCCACCAUCCUUCCACGUCCCCAACCCCGUGGCCACCAUCCCUCCACGCACAAGCCCCAUGGCCGCCAUCUUUUGGUGUUCUCCAACCCCACGGCCACCAUUCUUCCACGUCCCCAACCCAUGGCCACCAUCCUUUUGUGUCCCCAACCCCGUGGCCACCAUCCUUCCACGCCCCCACCCCCACAACCACCAUCUUUUGACGCGCCCCCUUCCCCAGCCCCUGC